AACAUGGGGUUGGGGGAGGGGGGCUUCAACGCGAGGGGUGGAGGAGGGGGCUGGAGCCCCCUACCCCAUGUAGCUUAUGAAGUACCCCUACAAUUUUUAGAUAUGGAUGGAGAGGAAGAAGAAGAAAAAGGAGGGAGGAAGAAGAGGAGUCUUCUAUGUUCAAGAGUUGAACCUAUCCUUGAUAGAAGAAUGUGAUGUAACGAUUCCACUCUCAGAGUCAAACUGAAUUUAGCAUGGUUAGGGAUAAUUUUUUCCCAUAGGAACAAGAACAAUCUUUUUUAGUGGAUCAAGCAAUUGUCAUGUCCCCCUUCGUUUUAAAAAAUUGUUAUGGUUUUUUUAAGGGGCAAAAAAAUUUUAUGUUCCCAGGAAAAAAAGCAGUUGUUACGGCUGUGUCCACAAAGUUUGCUCAUAUAUAACUCCUCACGGGCCAUUAGCCCACUAUUACAAGGCCGGCCUUCCGGAGUAUCGGGCCACAAAAGUCCUCCAAGCCCACCAGAUCGGUUCAAGAAAAAAAGGUCCAGCCGAGAUAAAGCAAAUUGAAGGCCCACAACGGCCACGCUUGCCACAUAGUUGACGAGCCGGCAAGUCUCGCGUCCGCCUGUCGUGUUUCUCCUCGCGUUCCCCGGCCUCGCCACCCGCACGGCCGCGAAGCAGUUCCACGACCACGAGUCCACGCCGGCGUGCCGCCUGCCGCGUGCGCGACAGCGCCGGACGAGGGCAAACUCGGCGCAUGCAGCCAGGUGUACACGACGGCCGCACGGCGCGCGAAUUCAUUGGCCGGCCGGCCGGUACCCAUCCCGUUCGGCUGGAAUCC
rnacentral:lncRNA from 1 species